rnacentral:misc_RNA from 1 species
GAUGAAGAACGCAGUGAAAUGCGAUAAGUAAUGUGAAUUGCAGAAUUCAGUGAAUCAUCGAGUCUUUGAACGCACAUUGCGCCCCCUGGUAUUCCGGGGGGCAUGCCUGUCCGAGCGUCAUUGCUGCCCUCAAGCACGGCUUGUGUGUUGGGCCGUCGUCCCCCUCCUAGGGGACGGGCCCGAAAGGCAGCGGCGGCACCGCGUCCGGUCCUCGAGCGUAUGGGGCUUCGUCACCCGCUCCGUAGGCCCGGCCGGCGCUUGCCGAGGACCAUCAAUCUCUUUCUCCAGGUUGACCUCGGAUCAGGUAGGGAUACCCGCUGAACUUAAGCAUAUCAAUAAGCGGAGGA